GAACCUCUAUUCCGUAAGAAGAUCAAUGGGCAACUGGUGAUGACUGACACGCUAGAAGCCAGGACUAUAAAGGCAAAAGAUGUACAGUGGAUGCCAACACGGAAAGCAGUCAUUGUAAAAGACGAGGCAGUGGAGCUGAGCAAGCAGAGUGGGGGAGAUUUUAAAAACCAGAAACACGUAAUGGGAUGUUUCAAAAUUGAAUUUGGCCAGUUUAGUGGUAAGACCUUCAAGUGGCUCCUAGAGAAUUCACCUGGUUAUGCUGGGUUUAUUGUGGCUGACACCGAAAAAGAGGAGCCCUCACACAAUGAGGUGUAUGCGAACUAGAUGGCUCUUAAUAAGUAUAUGGAGCUGUUUGAAGAGGGCGUCCAAAUGAUCAAUUCAAAAAGACAGUCAAAGCCAAAAGAAAAGGUGUCCGCUACAUCAGCGGCUUACAAGGAGAUGACAGAUGAAGAACUGCUGAAACAGGCACACAAAUUGAAACUCAGAAAGGUAUGUUUUUGAACAUUUCA